UACGGAGGGUGCAAGCGUUGUCCGGAUUCAUUGGGUUUAAAGGGUGCGUAGGCGGUCUUGUAAGUCAGUGGUGAAAUCUCAGAGCUCAACUCUGAAUGUGCCAAUGAUACUGCAGGACUUGAGAGCAGUCGAGGUAGCUGGAAUGUGUAGUGUAGCGGUGAAAUGCAUAGAGAUUACACAGAACACCAAUUGCGAAGGCAAGUUACUAGGCUGUUUCAGACGCUGAUGCACGAAAGUGUGGGUAGCGAACAGG
rnacentral:rRNA from 1 species